rnacentral:misc_RNA from 1 species
GUGAAGAACGCAGCGAAAUGCGAUAAGUAAUGUGAAUUGCAGAAUUCAGUGAAUCAUCGAAUCUUUGAACGCACCUUGCGCCCUUUGGCUAUUCCGAAGGGCAUGCCUGUUUGAGUAUCAUGAACACCUCAACCCUCAUGGUUUGCCAUGAUGGGCUUGGACUUUGGGGGUCUUGCUGGAUUGUAGUCAGCUCCCCUUAAAUGAAUCAGCUUGCCAGUGUUUGGUGGCAUCACAGGUGUGAUAAAUAUCUACGCUUGUGGUUUUACAUCAGAUAACCUUCAGUGAUGGAGGUUCACUGGAGCUCAUAAAGGUGUCUCUCCUCUGUGAGGACAGCUCUUUGAAUGUUUGAUCUCAAAUCAGGCAGGACUACCCGCUGAACUUAAGCAUAUCAAUAAGCGGAGGA